rnacentral:rRNA from 2 species
AUGCAGUCGAACGGCAGCACGGGGGCAACCCUGGUGGCGAGUGGCGAACGGGUGAGUAAUACAUCGGAACGUGUCCUGUAGUGGGGGAUAGCCCGGCGAAAGCCGGAUUAAUACCGCAUACGCUCUACGGAGGAAAGGGGGGGAUCUUAGGACCUCUCGCUACAGGGGCGGCCGAUGGCAGAUUAGCUAGUUGGUGGGGUAAAGGCCUACCAAGGCGACGAUCUGUAGCUGGUCUGAGAGGACGACCAGCCACACUGGGACUGAGACACGGCCCAGACUCCUACGGGAGGCAGCAGUGGGGAAUUUUGGACAAUGGGGGCAACCCUGAUCCAGCAAUGCCGCGUGUGUGAAGAAGGCCUUCGGGUUGUAAAGCACUUUUGUCCGGAAAGAAAACUUCUGCCCUAAUACGGCGGGAGGAUGACGGUACCGGAAGAAUAAGCACCGGCUAAC